GUCUUCUUGGUUGGAUAAGAAGUCUGACCUGCCCGGUGAUAUAUAAUUUUAACGGCCGCGGUAUUUUUGACCGUGCAAAGGUAGCAUAAUCAUUAGUCUUUUAAUAGGGGGCUGGUAUGAAGGGUUUGACGAGGAGUUGACUGUCUCAUUUGAUUUUAUUUUAGAAUUUAACUUUUCAGUUAAAAGGCUGAAAUUUCAUUGGAAGACGAGAAGACCCUAUAGAGUUUGAUAAUUAAUUUUAUAAUUAUACAUAAUAUUUAAUGUAUACAUUUAAUUAUUUUGUUGGGGUGACAAAAAUAUAUAAUUAACUUUUUUAUUUAUUUAUCAUUGAUAUAUGUACUUAAGAUCCAGUCUUAUUGAUUGUUAGAAUAAGUUACCUUAGGGAUAACAGCGUAAUCUUUCUUUGGAGUUCUUAUUUACAGAAAGGCUUGCGACCUCGAUGUUGGAUUAAGAUAACAGUUAGGUGUAGCCGCUUAAUGUGUAGGUCUGUUCGACCUUUAAAUUCUU
rnacentral:rRNA from 1 species